rnacentral:rRNA from 1 species
UACGUAGGGGGCAAGCGUUGUCCGGAUUUAUUGGGCGUAAAGAGCGUGUAGGCGGCCAAACAGGUCAGCUGUGAAAACUCGAGGCUCAACCUCGAGACGUCGGUUGAAACCGUUUGGCUAGAGUCCGGAAGAGGAGAGUGGAAUUCCCGGUGUAGCGGUGAAAUGCGCAGAUAUCGGGAAGAACACCCGUGGCGAAGGCGGUUCUCUGGGACGGUACUGACGCUGAGACGCGAAAGCGUGGGGAGCGAACAGG